UACAGAGGUCCCAAGCGUUGUUCGGAUUCACUGGGCGUAAAGGGUGCGUAGGUGGUCAGGUAAGUCUGAUGUGAAAGCUCUGGGCUCAACCCAGAAAUGGCAUUGGAUACUAUCUGGCUAGAGGAAUGGAGGGGGGACUGGAAGUACUUGGUGUAGCAGUGAAAUGCGUAGAUAUCAAGUGGAACACCAGUGGCGAAGGCGAGUCCCUGGACAUUUCCUGACACUGAGGCACGAAAGCUAGGGGAGCAAACAGG
rnacentral:rRNA from 1 species